GGCUUGCUCUUGCCUUGCCUGGGCAGAAGUGCAGUGGGUUAUCUACAUGUCCAACUGGGUACUGACUUUCGGUGUUUAAGAAGCCACUUACUUUUUGGAAACGGAGACCACUGCUUUCUCUGUAAGCGCAUCAGAUUGAGCUAUUAUUGAUUUCCUGUCAUGGGCCUGUUUCACAAAGCAACGUGGACAAGUGCAACCUUGGUCUAUGCAUCACUUGCAAACUCUACACAGCUGUCGCACUGAGCAUUUGCUGUUCAUCGUUUGCCAUUCAUAAAGUAUGAUUGGUCAUCUUGGUCACGUGUUAGACGUACUGCUCUGAGAAUAAAUGGUGCCAAUCAAGAUUGCUUCAGAGUAAACCUGGAUAGAACAUCAAGGCUAGCCUGUUGCAGGGCAGGCUGCUACUAUAUACCCUACUGAGCAGCAAUAACAAAGCCAGCCUCUGAAAACUUGCUGCUGCUUUGAAAAAGAUUCAUCUUCUCCUCUGGCCUAUGAGUUCCACUGAGUGCAUUUGGUCUGUUAUGUUUUGAGCAAGGGUGGACUUCUAGAGAGAGUGAAUUUGAAAUCAUCACAUUCUUGAAAUGAGGACCAGCACAGUCUGAAUCCUAAGUAAUACAAAGUAUGAGAAAGAAUCUCUUUGCACUGUUAUAACAGUUUGGUUUUGUGUAAUUCCUUUUAUACACCAGGCAUUCAACAUACAUGUAAAAGAUAUAGUAGUGGUUUACUGACACUGUAAGCAAACACAGCCAUUCCAGGAUGAGGUAUGCAGCUCCCCUGAAGCAAGGGAAUGAAAUGGGUUGUAGGGGUGAAGAAAAAAAGGAUGUUGGCCAUAGUGUACAGGGCCCCAUUUUCAGAGGUACUGAGCACCUGCAUUUCCCAUUGACUUCAGUAGGAAUCCAAUAGUCAGGUUAUUUUCAGCUCUUUUAAAAAGUGCCAAAGAUCAUAGAAUUACAGAAAAAUAAGUUGGAAGGGUCCUUUGAAGGUAAUCUGGUCUAACCCCCCCUGCCUGAGUCAAGAUUAUUCCUAUCCAACACAUUCCUUACAAAUCCUUGUCUAACUGACUAUUAAAACUUAGAUAGUCAACCCUCUCAGGCAGCCUAAUCUGGAACUGCAAAGUGGUAGUCAGCAUCCUGUUGCUUCAAGAGUGUCAAAACAGGUUUGAAAGAUUGAAGGAAGAGGGCCUCAGGGGGAGAGGGGCUAAAUUGGGUCCUAAAGGUCUGGAUUAAAGUCUAAAAAAUUUCAAGAAAAUUCAAAGAUAAGGUGAUUUAUAACAAAAGUCCAUAUGCCCAAAUAAGGCCUCCAAACACUGGGUAUCUUGAGAACAGUACUAUUCUCUGGCAGCCUAGAAAUGUGCUACUUUAGUGGGGGGGCAACUUUCAUUGCAGGCAUGCUACAAAUUAAUCUCUGCACCCUCCUGGUGCCACUCCAGUCCUGUUCCCUAGUCUGAUGCUCUGCUUUGUAUGCCCUGUCUUGUGUUCCCUGCUGGAUCUGUUGCUCUAUUUUUGCUUCCUGCCCUAUGCACCCUUCAAACUCUGCAGCUCUGCUUUCUACUCCCAGCCCUAUAGGCACUUUUACAUGUGCUCCAGAUGUGGGGGGAGGAAGGGAGGGUGCUUCAAUUGGAAUAGCUCCAAGAGCCGCUCUAAUUAAAGCGCUGCGGCAUCUCAUCUAUCAGCAUCUGCCUGCUUAAAAAUGGCAGUGAGGGUGCUUGAGCUAAAGCUUGGUUGACAAGCUUUAGUUCAAGUGCCCCUGCCACCAUUUUUGAGUGCCAGGAUGCUGAUGCUUGAGAUACAGGAGGCUGCUGGAGGUCGGUAAUUGCCAUGUUCCAGCAGACUCAAUUAAUUCCAGCUCACCAGAGCAGCUUCAUGCUCAUGUAUAGCACCCUGUAUGCCCUGUGCUGCUUGCCCCCUCCAUGAUCUGCCAUGUGCCACACCCGGAGGCUCCCCGGGCCACCGUUGGCAUGCAUGCUGCACCCCUAUUCUAGCAUCAUAGAUUCUAAACACAUUCCUCAAGGACUUACCCCUACAGGCGUAGUUGGGGAUAAUAAUUUUAACCUUAUUUUGAAUUUUUUCUCUGUUUGCAGGCCAAAUUGUGUACUUAUUUCAGAGAUUGCAAGGUCAGCUCCUGUGCCAUUCAAUAAGAUCUACACCCAAAUCACUGGGAUCAGAUUUUGACCCUGUGGGUUUCAAUUAGGCCAUUUGGCAUUGUUCAGAGCUGUGUUAGUAUCGCUAUGAUUUGAGAGCAGAUAUUUGUGGGUUCUUUUUAAAAAAAGAAAAAAGAAAAUAAGAUGAUCGUAGAAGGUGUGUUAUUAAAAAAAUUACAAAUUUCCACUCUGUAAAAUGCAAAGCUCAUAGUACCAGUUGUAACUAAGCAGAGGCUAAGCAGGUGCUGUAUAACCUUCUUUUAUUGCUCUCUCUUCCAUUCUAAAUGGAUACCCUGCUGUUCAAGCAUUCAACCUCCCCUGAGUGGAGGCUGCUAAGUAAGACAAAUUAUUGCAGUGGUUUUGUGAUGCAAGGAAACGUUGUGUGAAGACUGCUUUUAGAUCACUAGAAUAAAAUUUCAUGUUUGAAUCUAAA